AGGUAAUCCUGCGUUCUGCCUGAGACUUCUCACUUCCUGAAAACACAUCAGAAAGGACUUCAUCAAGUGCACUUCAGUUCAGCAGCAACAAGGGAGGCAGAAGUCAGGAUCUGAGGAGAUGUUCACCACACGAAGGAAUUUGGCCUCAUCCUGAAGCUGAUGGAAUGCUGUCUCCAUUAAAGGACUUAUUCCAUAGCCCUCUCUCCAGCCCCUCAUUGUAAAAGCUGUAGCUUCUGCAUCAAUGGUGAAAAGAGAAUGGAAGGCAACCAAUAAACCUCUCUGCCAGUAAA